rnacentral:rRNA from 1 species
AGCGAACGCUGGCGGCAGGCCUAACACAUGCAAGUCGAACGAACCUUUCGGGGUUAGUGGCGGACGGGUGAGUAACACGUGGGAAAGUGCCUUUAGGUUCGGAAUAACUCAGGGAAAGUUGUGCUAAUACCGAAUGUGCCCUUCGGGGGAAAGAUUAAUCGCCUUUAGAGCGGCCCGCGUCUGAUUAGCUAGUUGGUUGAGGUAAUGGCUCACCAAGGCUACGAUCAGUAGCUGGUCUGAGAGGAUGAUCAGCCACAUUGGGACUGAGACACGGCCUAAUAUCCGACGGAAGGGAGCAGUGGGGUAUCUUGUGCAAUGGGCGAAAGCCUGACGCCGCCAUGCCGGGUGAAUGAUGAAGGUCUUAGGAUUGUAAUAUUCUUUCAGCGGGGACGAUAAUGACGGUACCCGGAGAAGAAGCCCCGGCUAACUUCGUG